rnacentral:rRNA from 1 species
GCCCAAGGGGUAGUGGUAGUUACAUGAUGACACCCCUAUAACUUAUGUGAGAAAUCACAAGUAUUUGGACUCUGGGGGAAGUAUGGUCGCAAGGCUGAAACUUAAAGGAAUUGACGGAAGGGCACCACCAGGAGUGGAACCUGCGGCUUUUUUUAUCAAAUUAGGUCGUAAAAGUGGAUCUGAUAAAAAAAAAGGAUCUGCUAGUCACAAGGAUGUGUGGCGAUGUCAUCAAAUUGCGGGAAGUCCCUAAAGCUCCAACUACCAAGCACAUUCAGAAAUGAAGGUGUGGCCAGGGUAAUGACCUAGGGUAAGGUAAAAAUGUUGGAGAUACUACAAUGGGUAAUCUGCAGCCAAGUCCUAAGGAGAUUUAAAUCUCUAUGGAUGCAGUUCACAGACUAAAUGGUGACAGGCAUUUUGAAAAAAUAGAUCAAUUUGCUCAAGAUAUAGUCGAGCCCACUGUGAAAGCAGUGUCUACGUGGAGGAAAUGUGUAGAACAUCCCAUCUUUGUAUAAGAUUCUACAACAUGGAGAGCCACGUAGAAAUUUAACGUUAAAAUGUUAACGGUAAAUUGGGAAAUCUGUAAUUUGACUCAACACGGGGAAACUUACCAGGUCCAGACACAAUAAGGAUUGACAGAUUGAUAGCUCUUUCUUGAUUCUGUGGAAAGUGGUGCAUGGCCGUUUUUAGUUGGUGGAUUGAUUUGUCUGGUUAAUUCCGUUAACGAACGAGACCUAAACCUACUAACUAGUUAAUGGUAACUUGGACUCUAUCUAGAGACCUCAUAUUUAUCCAAACUUCUUAGAGGGACUCUUUAUACUUAGUGAAUGAAGUUAGCACUCG